UAGCUCGGGUUUCUCUUCAACUCACGAAAAAUCUUUCGCCUUUAAUAAAGAAUUUCGUGGAGAGGAACAACUUAAUAGUCUAAUGACUUUAUUUUUCUCAGCCCUGUCCCUGCAGUAAU